rnacentral:lncRNA from 1 species
UUUGUAACUCAUCGGUGAUCUUUAUUUUUUAUUAUUUUUUCAAAUUAAGCUGUACAAAAGCUAAAUAAUAGUAAAAUUUAAGCGAUUUCUGUAGUUUAGUUCUUUUUUUAUUUCGAUAUUACCUCUAUUUCUCCUAUUAGUUCAACAGAAAAAAGGACACUUAACAAAGAUGUAUGCUUCUUUUUCGAGGCAGAUUGUGAGCUAAAGAACGGUGCCCCAUUUUUUUAUUUAAUUUUUCUAUUAAGUAUAUGAUAAAAUUCAAAAAUAUAGCGACAUCCUAUAUUAUAAUUUUUUUUUUUAUUUAUACCCACGAUCCCCUUAACAUAUCAAAUGCUGUACAUACUAGUAGUUUAAAUUAAGUUCAAUGAAAAAAUUGU